GAGCGGACCGACGGGAGCUUGCUCCCUUAGGUCAGCGGCGGACGGGUGAGUAACACGUGGGUAACCUGCCUGUAAGACUGGGAUAACUCCGGGAAACCGGGGCUAAUACCGGAUGCUUGAUUGAACCGCAUGGUUCAAUCAUAAAAGGUGGCUUUUAGCUACCACUUACAGAUGGACCCGCGGCGCAUUAGCUAGUUGGUGAGGUAACGGCUCACCAAGGCGACGAUGCGUAGCCGACCUGAGAGGGUGAUCGGCCACACUGGGACUGAGACACGGCCCAGACUCCUACGGGAGGCAGCAGUAGGGAAUCUUCCGCAAUGGACGAAAGUCUGACGGAGCAACGCCGCGUGAGUGAUGAAGGUUUUCGGAUCGUAAAACUCUGUUGUUAGGGAAGAACAAGUACCGUUCGAAUAGGGCGGUACCUUGACGGUACCUAACCAGAAAGCCACGGCUAACUACGUGCCAGCAGCCGCGGUAAUACGUAGGUGGCAAGCGUUGUCCGGAAUUAUUGGGCGUAAAGCGCGCGCAGGCGGUUUCUUAAGUCUGAUGUGAAAGCCCCCGGCUCAACCGGGGAGGGUCAUUGGAAACUGGGGAACUUGAGUGCAGAAGAGGAGAGUGGAAUUCCACGUGUAGCGGUGAAAUGCGUAGAGAUGUGGAGGAACACCAGUGGCGAAGGCGACUCUCUGGUCUGUAACUGACGCUGAGGCGCGAAAGCGUGGGGAGCGAACAGGAUUAGAUACCCUGGUAGUCCACGCCGUAAACGAUGAGUGCUAAGUGUUAGAGGGUUUCCGCCCUUUAGUGCUGCAGCAAACGCAUUAAGCACUCCGCCUGGGGAGUACGGUCGCAAGACUGAAACUCAAAGGAAUUGACGGGGGCCCGCACAAGCGGUGGAGCAUGUGGUUUAAUUCGAAGCAACGCGAAGAACCUUACCAGGUCUUGACAUCCUCUGACAACCCUAGAGAUAGGGCUUCCCCUUCGGGGGCAGAGUGACAGGUGGUGCAUGGUUGUCGUCAGCUCGUGUCGUGAGAUGUUUGGGUUAAGUCCCGCAACGAGCGCAACCCUUGAUCUUAGUUGCCAGCAUUCAGUUGG
rnacentral:rRNA from 2 species